GGGAGGGGCAGAGGUGGGGGAAGGAAGGAAGGAAAGAAAAAUGUUUUCAGAAUUGGUUCCUGAGCUCAGGUCUUCAACGUGCCAAGAACAAGCAGCACAAUGGAAUGGCCUACGUCCGGGAGAAUGCAAUUGCUUGUCCUCUGCAAUCAGACAAUUGAAAGAAUGGAUAUUUUUUACACUGUUGGCCUUGUGAUUCAUAUCCAUCUCUGCAAUCAACUUACAUAACGUCGAUGAGAAAGAAAAGGUCUGACUUGAUGCAAGAAUGGAGACCCCAAGAAUAAGUUGACAAAGCGGAUAAGUUGCUUAAAAUAAAAGUUGCCUUCAUUUAAAA